UCCGGCAGAGGGGAGCUGCGGAGGUCGGGGCAGCUGCGCUUCCGCUGCAGUCGAGUGGUGCACGUGGGAGGGGCGGAUUGGAAGGGGGACGGGGGGAGCAGCUGCCUCGGGGGAGUGGUGCACAGGGCAGUUUUUUUGGGUAGAUCUGAGGUUUUUGAAAAUGCAAGGAAGGAGGGAUGCUUCUGUUCCCCCCGCUAGAGGGUGAAGCCUUGUUCACACGGUGCUUCUCCUGCAGGGCCUCCCAGGGGUGCGAGGAAGGGGUGCAGGGCAUUAGUACAUGUAGUGCAGCCGGGUGGGAGAAGGAAUCUGGACCCUGACAACGAGCCAGAAAUAAAGUCAGGUCUCCCCUUUGGUGCCUGCUGCAGCCAAAGUUUAACCCCCCCCUCCCCUCCUGCCUGGCAACAGUGUUUGUGGUGGGGGGCGCUGAGGAGUCUCCUGACAUCAUGGCUCAUUGAAUUUGAGGUCUUCAUCCUCAGGGGUUAAGGACCCUCUCUCUUUUGAACCAUCUUUGAACACACCCAGCAAGCUAGGUUUUUGGUUGGCCUAAGGACAUCGGCAGGCAAGGGUCUUUGAGUCUCUUUCUAUAUGCACAUUACCCAAAGACCCUUGCCUGCCCUGGUCAAGCCAGCCUUUCCUCUGCCGCUCUGCCCUGUUUUUGCUGCUCCUGGUAACGAAGCUCCUAUUUCAUAGCCCUGCGGGCUAUUUUCAAUUCCUUGCAUUUGUUUCUGCUCUAAUCUGAAACUGAAUCAUACAGCCCUAGAUUCCCAGUGUAUUGGAAAAGCUAGUUUCUUUUUUAACUUGAGAAAAACGUGUUUUGUUUAACAGGUGACGAUGCACCUCGCCCUGGGCACCCCGCCUUUUCAAAGUCUAGAUCUGGCUGUGAACGCAGCACGCGCUUUUUUUCAGGCUGGCGGGGCACGGUGAUCGCCCACAGGUGGCGGUGUCAGCGGCGGUGGCGAGUGGGGACCUCCUGCAGGCAGCCACAGUGAUGUCAGCAGCGAGGGCAGGCUGAAUGGGGACCCUGGCAGGUGGCCGCGGCAGUGAGGUGGGAGGUUGGCUAUCGGUGACCAGACGCUGUCGGCAGCGUCGGCAGUGGGGGCUGGAUGGACAAUAAUACGAUAUGAGAUUUGCCCGCCUUGUUUUGAUGGACAGUUUACAAACAGAGGCUGCCACCACGUCCUCUCUAAGUCGUCUUUUCUCCAGGCUGAGCAGUCCC